AAUCCUACCCAGAACAAACCUGCAGGAAAAGUGUUCGUGAUGAGUCAUAACGAGGCAGAGAGAUCUGCGGAUGUGGUAACUGGCGGAGAAUUCACUGUAGGGGACUUUUAGUGCUUAAAAGUGGCCUACCGUAACGUUUAUACGAGAGUCAAUAAAGCAUUGACAUUACAGGUUCGAAGAUGCAUACAUUGGGGAAUCUGGAAUGGAGAGGCUAUUGAGAUAGUAGCAUUUAAGUUGUGUCUAGGAGUUUAUAGUUCCAGACUUUAGCUUUGAGUUGGUGUGUUUCAGUUCAAACAUUGUUUGACUCUUAUUUCAUAAGUUCAAUAAAGUUGGUUUUGUUUUAGUAAGUUUUCCGCUGCAAAAUUCUGAGUAAGCCGAAACGUUUUCACACGGGCGAUAAUGCCUGGGUAAUUCUCUAAGUUUUAUAUUAUAAAGUAUUUUCUGGAAAGAG